GCUGCACCUUGAAGGUCCGAUUGUGAUAGACAAGGAAAGGUUUCCAGGCGAAGGGUAAAAACACAGCUGUUGGGUACUGAGGUGCGUCAUGGGCUGGAGGGUGGGGCCCCUGCUCCACUUAACCCAGCUCACCCACAGGUGUAGAAAUGUCUGUUCUCCACAUUCACCCCCCUCCCACUCCUUGCCCUUGCCCACCAGCACUUCUGCCCACGAUGGGCACAGCAGGUCAUGCUAAUAGCUUACAUGGGAAUGUGGGAAAUAAGGUCAUUCUGUUCCCGUUCCAGUCUUGUUCUGGGGAAAUGUUUAGCAACCCACUGAGUGGGGAGGGGGACUUGGAGCAUCUGCCAGUUGCCACAGGGUAAAUACUCCCAUCUCAGCUAAAACCUCACGAAAAUUGCAACAUCACUAAAUACACAGCUCUUGUGAGCCCCGAAGAGCCAACUCCAGGCCAUCACCCUACCUACUCCCUCCUGGAAAAGUCUGCCUAAAGGUGGAUGAGAACUGCUCCUGAACGCUGUGCCUUCUCAAUGCGGUGCAGACCCUUCAUGCCCCACCUCUUCUUUCUUCAGCUGGGCUUGGCAAUCUUUGCCUUUCAGGGAGUGGUACAGAGAUAGAGCUGAAAGGGCGCCUGCCCAGGGAGCUGCUGGAGACAACAGAUGCACCUGAAACCAGGACUGUGUCGCUUCAGAAAGCCGGGAGCAAGACACGCCCCAGAGCUGGUUUAACCUGCUGUAACUAGACUGGCUGAAUUAACUAUCCCUCAACUGGACACAUGACCACUCAUUCCUAUGGAGGACUUUCAUCUGACAAACAUUUUCUCCUCUCCUUUGUCCAUCCCACUGGGAAGCAUCAACUGGCUACUCCUCCUCCAUCCUGACUCCGCCCCCAUCACCUGUCUGCCUCUCCCUCCUCCACCUUACCUAGUCAGUCGCUUGGAUCCUCCCCAAGCUCCACUGCUUAGCUCAGGCUCAUCAGAGCUCACCUGAACUGCGGUAGCCUCCUCCCCAUCUACCCAUCUACCCCAGCUCCAUUCCCCAUAAAAGCAGGUCUCAGCUUGCCACUUCUCUGCUGCUAAUCCUGUUUUGCAUCAGAGGCCAAGGCCCAGCCCUCAGGGACCAACGAGCAGGACAAACCAGGGUGCCUGAAUAAAACAUGCCUCUUCCAGUCAGUCACCCAGGAGAAACUUACUCAUCCCAGGAGGGGAGGCGGGGGAAGAAGCUCUAGGGAGGAUUCUGGCCCAGCCAACUCUCAUCAACCGAGGUGAGGAAGGGGGACACGGUGGUGGCUCAGCCUGGGGUAAGGACUAGACCCCAUUCCACUUACAAACUGCCCUCUGCUUUUCUUAGAUGUUCAACCUCAUUCAUAAAAUCUGCUCAGUUGCUCUGUCGUGUCCAGCUCUUUGUGACCCCACAGACUGUAGCCUGUUAGGCUCCUCUGUCCAUGGGAUUCUCCAGGCAGGAAUACUGGAGUGGGUUGCCAUUUCCUUCUCCAGGGGAUCUUCCCGACCCAGGGAUUGAACCCUGGUCUCCUGUAUUACAGGCAGAUUCUUUACCAUCUGAGCCACUGGAGAAGCCCCCAUUCAUAACAUAAGAAAUGUAAAUUAAAACUACAAGAUACCAUUUUUCACCUAUCAGAUGAGCGAAACCAGAAACCCAGCAAAAGGGAGCUCAUGCCUGUCGAGGUCAAGGUGCCCCAGGGUUUUCCCAGUGGAUCAAUGGUAAAGUAUCUGUCAAUGCAGGAGACAGUGCGGGUUCUACCCCAGAAUUCGGAUGAUCCCCUGGAGGAGGAAAUGGCAAUUCACUCCAGUAUUCUUACCUGGAAAAUCCCAGAGACAGAGGACCCUGGCAGACUAUACAGUCCAUGAGGUUGCAAAAGAAUUGGACCUGACUGAGCAACUAAACCAUAACAACACCAUACAGGUGCCCUAACGUAUGUAUAAUAUGCAUCAGGAUAUUCACUGAACUAUAGCUUUCAUAGUUUCCAUUUGGAACCAAAAUAGGAGGGUAGUUAAUAAGUUCUACUUCAGCAAUACAAUUAAAUAUUACGUUCUAUUUAAAAGAAUGAGGCAGCUAAGUACUAAAAUUAAGUGAUCCUAAUUAAGAUUUAUCAUGUGCAAAAGCAAAGUGCAGAACAGUGAGUACAGCAUUUAAAGCUUAUGAUUUAAAAAAAAAAAAAGUAAACAUUUCAUAAGUAUAGAGUGUCUUUGGAAGGAAACAAUCAACAACAGUGUUGUGGAGUGGGAUGCUGGGAGACCAAGAAUAUAAAUGGGAGGAAGACUUUAUGGUGUGUGCCCUUUGAAUUUUGUGAAAUAUUAUCAAAUCCAGCAAAAUAUCAUGAAUGUAUAUUUCAUAUGUAUAUUAUGUAUGUGUGUGUGUAUAGAAUAAUUUUAAGUGUAAGGGACCUUUUAAAAAAUAUGUUUAUUUAUUUAUUUGGCCAUGCCUUGAAGCUUGCAGGAUCUUAGUUCUAUAACCGGGGAUCAAAACUCAGCAGUGGAUGUGCACAGUCCUAACCCCUGCACCCCGAGGGAAUUCCCUAAAAGGAGAGGAUUUUUCUACCCUGCUGCCGUCUAUGGGGUCGCACAGGGUCGGACACGACUGAAGUGACUUAGCAGCAGCAGCAGCAGUGCUCCGUGAGAGAUGGUGAUAAGCGUACUGCAUGGCCCUGCCCCUUCCAGACCUCAAUUUUCCAUCUAUACAAUGGCAGUCUCGGGGACUGCAAGGACAUCAAACCAGUCAAUCCUAAAAGAAGUCAACCCUGAAUAUUCAUGGAAGGACUGAUGCUGAAGCUGAAGCUGCAGUACUUUGACUACAUGAUUUGACAAGCCGACCCAUUGGAAAAGACCCUAAUACUGGGGAAGAUUAACGGCAGGAGGAAAAGGGGGUGACAGAGGAUGAGAUGGUUGGAUAGCAUCACCAACUCAAUGGACAUGAAUUUGAACAAACUCCAGGAGAUAGUGGAGGCCAGAGGAGCCUGGUGUGCUGCAGGUCCGUGAGGUUGCAAAGAAUCAGACACAACUUACCAAAUGAAUAACAGUGAGAGUUUGAGACUAGGUUCCUGCCUUACUUCUUAAUCUUACAGCUAACCAACCAAACCAGUACCGAUGUAGUGGCCAUAAGAUGACCUUUGAUGGGCUGGGGAAGGGAUGGUAUAAAAUGGCAUUAAUGAAUGAGCAAAGUCCGGGAGAUAGUGGAGGACAGGGAAGUUGGGCGUGCUGCAGUCACUGGGGCUACAAAGAGUUGGACAUGACUUAGCAACUAAAAAACAACAACAACAAUAAAAGUCGGAGGCACUGCCAUCAGUUGAACAGGAUCACUCCUGUGGCUUUGGAGCAAGUGAUCAUGGGAAAGCUGCAUCUGCCUGCAUUGGGGACACCUGUCUCUCCUGCAAAUCAGUUCCCUAGGGCUUGGCAGCUUCUUCCCUCCCAUCACCUAUCUGCUUCUUCCAUCACCAAUCUGCCCACCUGCCUCUAUCCCUGAGGCCCUCAGGGAGGAGCUGACCCAGGGAAGGAGCUAGAGACAGCAGUGGAACAAGUUCUAUGGGGCAGAGGGAAGGCGCCUACCUCCCUAUUUAUUAACUGAGGUCCUGGCCUCCCUCCGGCCCUGAUCUAGGCAGAUCAGGCUCUGCCUAGCUUAGCCUGCCUGCCCGCUCCUCCCCACCUCCCUGUGCCCAUUCAAAGGAGGCAGCUCUCAUAUAUGCUGGAGCUUGACACACCCAGCUCCUUCCACCAGUCUAGCCUUCUCCUCUAACAGAAGAUGUCUGUGCCUGAGGCUGGGAGACCUGAGAUGCCUGCUAUGUUGAGCCUCCCUGGGAGGUGAGACCUGGCAAUCUGAGCCUUCAGAGCACACCCAGAGCCCCAGUUAGCAGGCAGCCAUCUCUCUCCAAAGCCUCCUGCUGGGCUCAGCACUGGCCUUUUCUCUCUCUGUCUCUUUACGAAAAAAAAAAGUAUUUAUUUAUUUGGUGGUAUCAGCCUGUAGGAUCUUCAAUCUUCGUUGCAGCAUGCAAGCUCUUAAUUGUGGAAUUGUCUAGUUCCCUGACCAGGGAUCGAACCCAGAUCUCCUGCGCUGGGGGCACGGAGUCUUAGCUACUGGACCAGCAGGGAGUUUCCUGGCCUUUUUCUUAAUGAUCUUAAUGAUGAGAGCCAAAGGGAAAAUACAUGGGAGUCAGAGGAACUGAGGCUGGAUAUUUUCCUGGCCCUUAUUCUCUCUCUCCCAUCCACCCUGGGUUUUCUGUUCCAGAUCAGCCCUAGCCCCAUGAUGAAGUCACUCUCCUUCUUGGGGCCUUCUAGUCCAGCUUCAAGAAGAGGGGCUUGGGCCCAGGAAGCUGCUUGUUACCAGAUGCCCCCAGGUGGUUCCAAGGCAGGUGCUGGGUGGACAGGGUUAAAGAAGCAGCUGUCUUGUACAUUCCAGAAAGGCUUUGUCUUACAUUCCUCCUGGAUGUACCCCUAGAAGCCAAGGGUCUGAAGUGAGCAACCAAGAGGCUGGGGCUUCUGGAAACAAGGCAGAUGAUCCUCUUUGUGGGACUUGACUCUGAAAGCUGCUACCAUCAGUGGUUAGGAUUCUGAGCUUCUACUGCCCGGGGCCCCAGUUCAAUCCCUGGUCAGGGAACAAGAUCAUACAAGCAACACAUUGCAGACAAAUAAAUUAAAAAAAAAAUUUUUUUUAAAGAAAUACCAAUCUUACAACCCAGCCAUUGCGUCCUUCGAUUCUUACCCAAGAAUGAAAACAUGUCCACACAAAGACGUUACACAAAUGUUUGUAGGAGUUUUUCUGGUAAUAACCCCAAACUGGAAACAACACAAAUAUCGACCAUUAGAAUGGAUAAACAAAUAUGGUAUAUCCAUACAACAGAAUGUUACUCAGCAGUCAAAAGGAACAAACGAUUGAUUCACACAACAUGGAUGAACUUCAAAAUAAUUAUGUUGAGUGAAAGAAGACCAAAAAGAGUAUAUUCUGUUUGAUUUCAUUUAGGUAAAAUUCUAGAAAGGGAAUCAGUGGUUACCUGGGGCGAAGGUAGAGAGAAAGAGGGAGAGAUUACAAAAGGGCACGGGACUUCCCUGGUGGUCCAGUGGUUAAAACUCCUUGCUCCCAAUGCCGGGAGCAUGACUUUGAUGCCUGGUCUUGGUCCUGCAUACUCCACAACACAGCCAAAAUAAUAGUGAUAAUGGCAUGAAGAAACUUCUAGGUAUGAUGAGUAGGUUCAUUACCUUUAUUAAAGUAAUGUUGACACGUGUUGAAACCCAAAUUAUUUUGUGCUUUGAAUAUGCACCGUUUGUUAUGUGUCCAUUGUAAUUUAAACAAAUUUUAUUGGAAGAUA
ensembl:lncRNA